rnacentral:lncRNA from 1 species
GACUAUAAAUUGUGUUCUUCAUGACAUUGUGCAAUGCUUUUAUAGGAUGCUAGAAAGAGAUGAAGCUGAGUGCUUUUCCGUUUACACUUGUUUAUUAAAAUAUACAUGCAAUAGAAAUUAAACAUAGUACAUAUGAAUUUACAUGGACACUUGGAAAUUGAAGGUUUUUUUCCCUAGUAUUACAGUAAGUUGGUACACAAUAUAAUGAAUAAAUUUGUAAUUUUUAAUUUAAAUGUCAAUAUUAAUUUUCAGGUUUUUCAGGAAUCAAAAUUACCUUAAAUGUUAGACUGUAGUUCACUAAGAUGUAAAGUUUUAAAGUGCUUAGCUAAAGAGGGUGAACUUUAGAAUCCACAUGCUUACAUAUAUUUUCUCCUCUGUAUGUGUUUCCCAUCUUGACAUUCGGUAUCUUCAAUAGUUCACUUAUCAACUUUGUACUUAUUUUCACAACACCAGCUCGCUCUAGCUCUUUCUCUCAUGCACGUGCGCAUGCACACACACACACACACACACACACACACACACACACACACACACACACACACACACACUGUCAGAAUUGCUGCAGCUACUCUGACUCUUUGUGGCUCUAUAGGAAUUAUAGGAUUGCUUUAUUUACCUCUUGGAAGGAAGUGAUUGGAAUUUUGAUGGGGUUUUCAUUGAAACAACAGGUUAAUAAUUCUUUUGGCUUUGAGUAAGAACAGUGAAAACAGAGUUUUGUUCCAACCUAAGAAGACACACUUUUAGCCCUUUAGUCCAGUGUGAUAUUUAUGGUAGACUUUUUCAUAUAUAGGGUUUAAUAUUUUGAGAUACGUUCCUUCAGCAUAGAUUUGUUGACUCAUUAUAAAAGGACACUAAGACUCAACCAAUUGCUUCUUUUGCUUCUAUAAAGAUAGUCACAUGGCUUUGUCUUUGAUUGUGUUGUAUUAAGUUUAUUGAUUUGAAAUGUUAAGCCACCCCAGCAUUCCUGGGGUUAACCUUAAUUGAUCAUGUUCUAUGAACAUAUUGAAAUGCUGAACUAAGUUUACCUCUAUUUUAUUGAGAAAAUUUGCAUUUGUGUUCAUCAUGGGUAUGGGUUUAAUUUUUUUUUUAUUGCUGUGUUUUGGCUUAGAAUGAUGGAAAUGGGUUGCCUAUUCAUACUUUAAGAAAUGGAAGUAACUCUUUACAUAUUCAUAUAAACCAUCAGUACAGCUGUAAGAUAUUAAGAUUUUUAUUAGACAGAAGACAUUUCAUUACUGCUAUAAUGUUUAAUUACAGUUUCUAUUUCUUGAUCAGUUUUAGAAGGCCACAUGCUUCCAGAAACUUGCACAGUACUUCUAAAAUUCAUGUGAUUUUGCCAUAUACUUUUUCAUAGUAGUUUUAAAAUAAUCUUUUGUGUUUCUGUAGCAUCAGGGUUCUCUAGAGAAACAGAACCAGUAGCAUAAAUAUGUACUAAUCAGGAAUGCAAUUGGCUUCCACAACAAGGUCUGGGGAGUCCAAUUGCUGUGUUCACACUGGAAAUGCCGAGAGCCAGGAGCUACACUGUCCCUGAAGCUGAGUGUCAGUAACUCCAGUCUGGCACUAAAGGCCUGGUCUUCAGUUCAAUUUGACAGACCAAGGAGGCUGACUUCUGAUGUCAGCAAAGGCAGCUGCAACAGAGUAGGUCAGUUUACUAACAAGAAACAGGGGAAGUGGGUCAAAGGGCGUCAAUAUUCUUGCUUUGGAUCUUCUUAUGUCGCUGCUGCUAGAAGACACUGUCCACAUUUAGGAUGUGUCUUUUCAAUUCAAUUAAUCAAUAAAACCUCUCCAGUCAUGCUCAGAUCCUAACCUAAUCUACACAAUCUAGAUGAUCCUCUUAGGUUUGUCUAGAGACUUGCGUCUUAAGUGAUUCUAGAUCCUGCCAAGUUACAAUAUUAUUAACUAUUGUUAGUAGUACAAUAAUGUUUCCAUUUUGAUUUAUGUGACUGUCAACUUUUUUCUUUAUUAAUCUAUGUAAAGGUUUAGAGAUGGUAUUUAUUCUCCUUUUUUAAACUCACAGAUUUCAUUGCCCUUUUGUUUUUUUGGGGUUUUGUUUAGUUUUUAGUUUUUUAUUAUGUUACUUUUCCUUUAAUUUUUUUGUUUGUUUCCCUAAGUCCUUGAGGAUCCUGUGUUUGAAAACUUUUUAUUAAGAUUGCAUAUCAUGUUAUAAAUUUUUCUCAAUACUGAUUUUUCUAUCAUACAGUUUUGAUAGUUUGUUGCAAUUUUAAUGUUCUUACAAUUCUCUUUUAAGUUUCAAUUGCCUUCUGUCCACUUAGUAGCAUGUUAUUUAAUUUCCACUUUACUAUAUGGCUUUUCAUUCUUAAUGAAUUUCACUUGUCUGAAAAGAAAUACAAUAAAAUUUAAAUUUUUAAAAAUUUGACACUUGACAUGUGAACUCACCUAGAGAAAAUUCCAUGUGCUGAUGAUAUGACUGUGUGUUACACUGGUUGAAUGAAGUAUCCUUAAAAGUGUAUUAGAUCAGUUUUCUCUAUAGUGUGGUCCAACUCAGGUUUUUCUUAGUUUUUCCGUAUAUAUGUGUAUGUAUAUACAUAUAUGUAUAUGUUUUUCUAUGUAUAUAUGUAUAUUAAAAAUUAAAUAUUG